GAGACCGCUGGCGCUAAGUCAGAGGAAGGGGGAGGGCAACGGUAGGUCAGUAUGCUCCGAAUGCUAUGGGCUACACGCGCAAUACAAAGGACGGGACAAUGGGCUGCUACUCCGAAAGGAAUGACGCUAUCCCGAAACCCGUUCGUAGUUCGGAUUGAGGGCUGUAACUCGCCCUCAUGAAGCUGGAUUAGGUAGUAAUCGCGUCUCAAUAAGGCGCGGUGAAUAUGCCCCUGCUCCUUGCACACACCGCCCGUCA
rnacentral:rRNA from 1 species